GGACCCGUAGCCUAGCCUGGAUAUGGGCACUCGGCUUCGGACCGAGAGGUCGGGGGUUCGAAUCCCUCCGGGUCCG
rnacentral:tRNA from 1 species